rnacentral:rRNA from 1 species
AAUCAACGCUGGCGGCGUGCCUAACACAUGCAAGUCGAACGGGAAAGUGGAGCAAUCCAUGAGUAUAGUGGCGACCGGGUGAGUAACACGUGACUAACCUACCUUCAAGUGGGGGAUAACCUCGGGAAACCGGGGCUAAUACCGCAUAAAAUCUCUGUUAUGAGAAAGCAGGGAUCAAAGGAGCAAUUCGCUGGAAGAGGGGGUCGCGGCUGAUUAGCUAGUUGGUGGGGUAANGGCCCACCAAGGCUUUGAUCGGUAGCCGGCCUGAGAGGGCGCACGGCCACACUGGAACUGAAACACGGUCCAGGACUCCUACGGGAGGCAGCAGUGGGGAAUUUUGCGCAAUGGGGGAAACCCUGACGCAGCAACGCCGCGU